CCUGGCUCAGGACGAACGCUGGCGGCGUGCCUAAUACAUGCAAGUCGAGCGGACUWRUWGGAGCUUGCUCCWRYWRGUUAGCGGCGGACGGGUGAGUAACACGUGGGCAACCUACCURUAAGACUGGGAUAACUUCGGGAAACCGGAGCUAAUACCGGAUGACAYAAAGGAACUCCUGUUCCUUURUUGAAAGAUGGCYUCGGCUAUCACUUAYAGAUGGGCCCGCGGYGCAUUAGCUAGUUGGUGAGGUAACGGCUCACCAAGGCRACGAUGCRUAGCCGACCUGAGAGGGUGAUCGGCCACACUGGGACUGAGACACGGCCCAGACUCCUACGGGAGGCAGCAGUAGGGAAUCUUCCGCAAUGGACGAAAGUCUGACGGAGCAACGCCGCGUGARYGAUGAAGGCYUUCGGGUCGUAAARYUCUGUUGUUAGGGAAGAAYAAGUGCUAGUURAAUAAGCUGGCACCUUGACGGUACCUAACCAGAAAGCCACGGCUAACUACGUGCCAGCAGCCGCGGUAAUACGUAGGUGGCAAGCGUURUCCGGAAUUAUUGGGCGUAAAGCGCGCGCAGGCGGUUUCUUAAGUCUGAUGUGAAAGCCCMCGGCUCAACCGKGGAGGGUCAUUGGAAACUGRSAAACUUGAGUGCAGAAGAGGAAAGUGGAAUUCCMMGUGUAGCGGUGAAAUKCGUAGAKAUYKGGARGAACACCRGUGGCGAAGGCGRCUWUCUGGKCYRUWACUGACGCUGAGGYGCGAAAGCGUGGGGAGCAAACAGGAUUAGAUACCCKGGUAGUCCACGCUGUAAACGAUGAGUGCUAAGUGUUAGAGGGUUUCCGCCCUUUAGUGCUGAAGUUAACGCAUUAAGCACUCCGCCUGGGGAGUACGGUCGCAAGACURAAACUCAAAKGAAUUGACGGGGGCCCGCACAAGYGGUGGAGCAUGUGGUUUAAUUCGAWGCAACGCGAAGAACCUUACCAGGUCUUGACAUCCUUUGACCACUCUAGAGAUAGAGCUUUCCCCUUCGGGACAGAGUGACAGGUGGUGCAUGGUUGUCGUCAGCUCGUGUCGUGAGAUGUUGGGUUAAGUCCCGCAACGAGCGCAACCCUUGAUCUUAGUUGCCAGCAUUCAGUUGGGCACUCUAAGGUGACUGCCGGUGACAAACCGGAGGAAGGUGGGG
rnacentral:rRNA from 1 species